rnacentral:rRNA from 1 species
GACGAACGCUGGCGGCGUGCUUAACACAUGCAAGUCGAACGAUGGAGCCUAGCUUGCUAGGUGGAUUAGUGGCGAACGGGUGAGUAAUACGUGAGUAACCUACCUUUAACUCUGGGAUAAGCCCGGGAAACUGGGUCUAAUACCGGAUACGACCAAUCUCCGCAUGGGGUGUUGGUGGAAAGCGUUAUGUAGUGGUUAUAGAUGGGCUCACGGCCUAUCAGCUUGUUGGUGAGGUAACGGCUCACCAAGGCGACGACGGGUAGCCGGCCUGAGAGGGUGACCGGCCACACUGGGACUGAGACACGGCCCAGACUCCUACGGGAGGCAGCAGUGGGGAAUAUUGCACAAUGGGCGCAAGCCUGAUGCAGCGACGCCGCGUGAGGGAUGACGGCCUUCGGGUUGUAAACCUCUGUUAGCAGGGAAGAAGAGAGAUUGACGGUACCUGCAGAGAAAGCGCCGGCUAACUACGUG